rnacentral:rRNA from 1 species
UACAGAGGGUGCGAGCGUUGUCCGGAAUCACUGGGCGUAAAGGGCGCGUAGGCGGUCUCUUAAGCGUGUGGUGAAAGCCCGGGGCUCAACUCCGGGUCGGCCGUGCGAACUGGGGGACUGGAGCUUGCCAGAGGCAGGCGGAAUUCCGGGUGUAGCGGUGGAAUGCGUAGAGAUCCGGAAGAACACCGGUGGCGAAGGCGGCCUGCUGGGACAGUGCUGACGCUGAGGCGCGACAGCGUGGGGAGCAAACAGG